rnacentral:rRNA from 1 species
GACCAAGGAGUCUAACCCGUAUGCGAGUCGUAGGGUCUUGCGUAGGCCCCGUGGCGUAGCGAAAGCAAAGUCGAGACAUUGGUAAAUAAAUAUAUCUGCCUGUAGCAUCGGCGGCCCGGCGGUGUGGCCGGUUGGCACGGCCCGUUCGGGUCAAACCGAACGGUGAGUCGUGCCCGGCUCGUCGGAGUCCGAGCAUACGAGUUGGUACCCGAAAGAUGGUGAACUAUGCUCCGCCAGGGCGAAGUCGGAGGAAACUCCGGUGGAGGCCCGAAGCGGUUCUGACGUGCAAAUCGAUCGUCGGAGCGAGGUAUAGGGGCGAAAGACUAAUCGAACCAUCUAGUAGCUGGUUCCCUCCGAAGUUUCCCUCAGGAUAGCUGGCAUUCGUGUGAGACUCAGUCUCUCCUCGUAGAGAGAAUGAAUAGAGGCCCUGGGGCCCUAGACGACCUCAACCUAUUAUCAAACUGCUACGAGGUGCGUCCGUAGGAACUUGCUGACUUGAAGUUUACCUACGCUUGUGUCGGGAUGUAUGAGUGCCGUGUGGGCCACUUUUG